rnacentral:rRNA from 1 species
GUCGAGAAUAAUUCACAAUGGACGAAAGUCUGAUGGUGCAACGCCGCGUGGAGGAUGACGGUCUUCGGAUUGUAAACUCCUGUCAUCCGGGAGUAAGACCUGGCUGUGAAUAGCAGACAGGGUUGAUAGUACCGGAAGAGGAAGGGACGGCUAACUUCGUGCCAGCAGCCGCGGUAAUACGAAGGUCCCGAGCGUUGUUCGGAAUCACUGGGCGUAAAGGGAGCGUAGGCGGCGUGGUAAGUCAGAUGUGAAAUCCCGGGGCUCAACCCCGGAACUGCAUCCGAUACUGCCGUGCUAGAGGAUUGGAGAGGUAGCUGGAAUUCUUGGUGUAGCAGUGAAAUGCGUGGAGAUCAAGAGGAACACUCGUGGCGAAGGCGAGCUACUGGACAAUAUCUGACGCUGAGGCUCGAAGGCCAGGGUAGCGAAAGGGAUUAGAUACCCCUGUAGUCC